rnacentral:sRNA from 1 species
UCAACCUGUGUGUAAAUUUUGUUUUAAGGUGGGCAACUCAGUCUACUACAACUACACCCUGUCUGUACAAGGUCAAGCCGAGAGUCAUGGAGACAACUAUCAGCAGGACUAUCUCACUGACGUCAUUCACAGAAAAGCUGUCAACUUUUUAAACUCUGUCAGCAGCAGGAAGCCGUUUUUCAUGAUGUUGUCUACACCAGCGUGCCACCAACCCUUUACUUCUGCUCCUCAAUACUUGCAGAAUUUCACUGAUAGAAAAGCUCCACGUACCAAACAUUUCAAUAUCCACGGGAAGGAUAAACACUGGCUGGUAGAAAAGACUAUAACCCCCAUGCCCAAUGACACAGUUGAACUGAUUGAUGAUUUCUUCAGAAAUAGGUG